rnacentral:lncRNA from 1 species
GUAGAAGAGAAUGCAAUAUAUGCUUUACUUUGGUUACAUGUUCUUGGAUGAUGUUGACUACCUUGUAGAAAUAGUUUCCUGUUUCAUCCGUUGGAACUCAUCUCCACUGGAGAUGGGGUUUGUGCCUACUCAUCUAAGCACCAUGUCAUGAUCAUCUUGUCUUAACUUGCAUAGCAUUGCACCUCGGGCAUCUUGCACUUCCACUCAUGAGCACACAUGCAUCAUACACGCUCGCAGUGGGACCCGAGGAGCAGGAGGAGACACAGGAGUAGGAACUUCCAUGAGGACAAGAGCUGGAGGG